rnacentral:rRNA from 1 species
CAGCAGCCACGGUAAUACAGAGGGUGCAAGCGUUAAUCGGAAUUACUGGGCGUAAAGCGCGCGUAGGUGGUUUGUUAAGUUGGAUGUGAAAUCCCCGGGCUCAACCUGGGAACUGCAUCCAAAACUGGCAAUCUAGAGUAUGGUAGAGGGUGGUGGAAUUUCCUGUGUAGCGGUGAAAUGCGUAGAUAUAGGAAGGAACACCAGUGGCGAAGGCGACCACCUGGACUGAUACUGACACUGAGGUGCGAAAGCGUGGGGAGCAAACAGGAUUAGAUACCCGUGUAGUCCCUGUCUCUUAUAC